rnacentral:rRNA from 1 species
UGCCAGUUGUUCUGCCAAGGGCAUGGCUGGUUGGCUACGUUCGGGAGGGAUAACCGCUGAAAGCAUCUAAGCGGGAAGCCUGCUUCGAGAUGAGGACUCCCACCCACUUGAUGGGGUAAGGCUCCCAGUAGACGACUGGGUUGAUAGGCCGGAUCUGGAAGCCAGGUAACUGGUGGAGGUGACCGGUACUAAUAGGCCGAGGGCUUGUCCUC